rnacentral:rRNA from 1 species
AUGGGGGAGAGCGAGUACCGGUGCUGGGAGGAGCUGCUGCCGGACGCGCUGGAGCUCGUGUUCCGGAACCUGCCGCUGCAGGAGGUGCUGACGGUGGUGCCGCGGGUGUGCAAGUCCUGGGGGCGCGUCGUGGCCGGGCCCUACUGCUGGCAGGAGAUCGACAUCGAGGAGUGGAGCCAGCAGCGGCAGAGCCGCCCGGACCAGCUCGUGCGCAUGCUCGACCUGCUCGUCCGCCGCAUCAGCGUCUCCGGCCUGCCCUGCGACCCGCUCUUCUCCUUCAUCGGCGACCACGCGCGCGCCCUGAGGACGCUGGAGAUCCCGCGGAGCGAGAUCAGCGACGCCGUGGUGGAGGCGGUGGCGCCGGGCUGCCCAACCUCACGUUCCUCGACAUCAGCAGCUGCACCAAGAUCGGCGCGCGCGCGCUGGAGGCGUUCGGCCGCCACUGCCGGUCCCUGGAGUUCGUCGACCUGCGGGGCUGCUGCGGGAGCGGCACCCGCGGCUCAGCGUCCUCGGCCCGGGCGUCGACGACUGCUUCGAGAACAGCUACUGGGAUGA